UACGAGGGGUGCAAGCGUUGCUCGGAAUUAUUGGGCGUAAAGGGUAGGUAGGUGGUCUCAUUUGUCUGGGGUGAAAGCCUUGAGCUUAACUCAAGAAGUGCCCUAGAAACGGCGCGACUAGAGUCCUGGAGAGGGUCGUGGAAUUCCCGGUGUAGCGGUGAAAUGCGUAGAGAUCGGGAGGAACACCAGAGGCGAAGGCGGCGACCUGGACAGGUACUGACACUCAACUACGAAAGCGUGGGGAGCAAACAGG
rnacentral:rRNA from 1 species